UUUUUUUUUUUUUUGCAUUGUGUUUGAGAAACUUUGGGAUUCCUGUGUGCGCUGCCGGUCACGUGGAAGCACCAUGAAAAACAUUCCGAGAUCGCAAGCCGAAGCGAGUUAAACAGCGUUUUUAUGCGUUUGUAGAGGAACAAGCAUUGAUAAAAAACGAUGCCUUUUAAGAACUUUCCCAAGCUGAGCAUUGUAUCGAGGAGGGAGCUUCUGCAAAAGCCAGAUUUCCCUGCGAAUUCAGCAGUUGGUGUCAUAGUUAGCCCAAGUUAAAAGGUCAAUUACCUGUGAAGUGUUGUAUCUUCUUGGCGCUCUCAGCGCUCCGGAUUUUAUUAUCCCCAAAAUUUUAUUUCAGAUUCUAGGCAAGUAAGUGACUGUCUUUUCAGGAAAAAUGAUCAUUUUUGAUAGAGCAAUGUACCAGAUGCGACUUUUAAGGCCUCAAUUUGUCGGUUUGACGAUCGUGCAAAAUGAUGGAUGCGAGGCUAUAUUUGAGAAAAUCUGUCAAAUAUUCUAUUUUAACUGGAUUAAGCCGAGAUUAAAAUAAUAUUGAGAGAACAUAUCCUGGUUGCCUCCUGUGGUGUUGCUGUGUUUCUGCGCUGUUUUCUUUCGCACUGCAGGUAGCGAUACUUGGUUCAAAUUUUGUAGUGUUUUUCGGGGUCAAGCCGAGAAAAAUAAGGAAAAAUCCAUAAAAUAUUUAAUAUUCGUUAGAUUUUAAAAAGAAACACAUUUUUGUAAUCAGGAGCCAAAUAUAAGUCUAUAGACAAAUUAUUGAAAAAUCAUUUUUUUGAGUAUUGCAUUUCAUCUUGAAUGGAUUAGCGGAGCGCUUCUUAAUACAUGAAUAGUGGAAAAAGAACUAAAUCUUCUCUGAGAACUGGAAAAAUGGAGAUUAGAAAGAUUUUGAAGCAAAAUGUAUUCAGCUCUCGUAAUUUCAAACAAGCGCGCGCGCAUAGGAGCCGUCAUUUCUUGUAUGUUACGGAAGUUGAGCUCCUGAAGUAAUUACAUAGUCACUUACGUAGUUGUAGUUAAUUAUUCAUUGAUUGUAAUUGAUUGUUAUUUGAUACUCAUGGUAUGUAAGAACGGACAUGCGUUAGAUCGGGGGGGUUUUGUGAAAGAGAUUGUUAAGAGAGAUUGCUACGAGAUUGUUACCGAAUAUCGAAGAGAUUGUGAAGAAUAAAGAAGAGAAAACGGA